rnacentral:rRNA from 1 species
AGAGUUUGAUCAUGGCUCAGAACGAACGCUGGCGGCGUGGAUAAGACAUGCAAGUCGGACGAGAUUUCGUCCUGUAGCAAUACGGGAAGAAGUCUAGUGGCGAACGGGUGCUUAACACGUGGGCAAUCUGUCUUAAAGUGGGGGAUAGCUCGGCGAAAGCCGAAUUAAUACCGCAUGUGAUUAGAGUGGACAGCCAUUCAAAAUUAAAGUCGGGGCAACCUGACGCUUUUUGAGGAGCCCGCGGCCUAUCAGCUAGUUGGUGAGGUAACGGCUCACCAAGGCUUUGACGGGUAGCUGGUCUGAGAGGACGACCAGCCACACUGGGACUGAGACACGGCCCAGACACCUACGGGUGGCAGCAGUCGAGAAUUUUUCUCAAUGGGGGAAACCCUGAAGGAGCGACGCCGCGUGGAGGAUGAAGGUCUUCGGAUUGUAAACUCCUGUCAUUGGGGAACAAUGCGUGACGGUUAACUGCCGUCGCGUUGAUAGUACCCGAAGAGGAAGAGACGGCUAACUCUGUGCCAGCAGCCGCGGUAAUACAGAGGUCUCAAGCGUUGUUCGGAUUCAUUGGGCGUAAAGGGUGCGUAGGCGGCGCGGUAAGUCGGGUGUGAAAUCUCGGAGCUUAACUUCGAAACUGCAUUCGAUACUGCCGUGCUUGAGGACUGGAGAGGAGACUGGAAUUUACGGUGUAGCGGUGAAAUGCGUAGAUAUCGUAAGGAAGACCAGUGGCGAAGGCGGGUCUCUGGACAGUUCCUGACGCUGAGGCACGAAGGUCAGGGGAGCAAACGGGAUUAGAUACCCCAGUAGUCC